AUGAAACCUAGCCUAGCCUCCAAUCCGCAACUGCCUUUCUCCCUCCCUCAUCCUCCCUUUUCCCUCGCUCGCCAUCCGCCGCCACACAGAUCCACCGCGUGCUCCCGUCCUCGAGCCCGAGGCCGCUUCCCCUUCGCGCCACCGUCGUGGCUUAGGCCAAGGCAACGACCGGGUCUUGGUGGAGGCAGAAGCACGUGGAGAGCCCGGCGGCUGCAGGUAGAAGCAGGGGUUGUGCAGUGGUGGAUGCGGUCGGCGUCGGUGAUUGAGGAAGGCUCGCCGGUCAGAGCGGCCGGAGAAGAUGGAAAGAAUAGCACGACCCUGCACAAUACGCACCCCCGGCCACCGCCUGCUCGUCCUUCAUGUGGUGUCAUCGCAGCUUUUGAAAAAGCAGGAGUAGGAGGAGCCACAGAUGAGGAGGAAGGAGACCAGCAAGGGGACGAGAUAUUCUUGUUCAAUUUGGUUCUCAUGGUGGCAUCUUUAGGUUCCAUCUUUGAUGCUUGGAUUUGUUGUCUAGCCAGCAGGAGUAGGAGACAGUGA
rnacentral:rRNA from 1 species